GAAGGUGGCUCAGUGGUAGAGCUCUUGCCUUGCAUGCAUGAGGUCCUGGGUUCGAUUCCUCAGCACUUCA
rnacentral:tRNA from 1 species